rnacentral:lncRNA from 1 species
UGUUGCUGUUAUUUUGUUUUUUGCUUGUUUGUUUUUUUGUUGGUUUUAAUUUUUUCGUUAUUUAUUUAUUUAUUGUUUUAAAAGCAUGUUGCUUUUCUAUUUAUUUUUUAAAGUCAUGGUCUCACUAUGUAGCACUGGCUUGCCAGGACCUCACUAUGGCUGCAUGAGUUGUUUCUUUGUUUUGUUUUGUUUUGUUUUGUUUUGUUUUGUUUUGUUUUGUUUUUGAAUGUUUUAAGACAGGGUCUCAUUAUACAGCCCACAACUGAUUUCGAACCCACCAUUCUCUUGCCUCAGCGCCUAGAAUUCCAGAGACUCUAGGCAUGUGCCACCAGGCCCAGUGCAUCGAGUAACUCUAUCAAUAAACAUUUGAGUUACGUCACCAUAGAGAAGGCCCUUCUUUGUGAGACAGAACACUACAGACAAAAUUGUUAGCAGAGAUUAGUUUAGCUCCUGAAAGAAUGUAUUCAAAACUAUUGCUUCCCAUCACCGCCUGCUUGUGUGUUCCUGGAGCCCCCCAAUCCACAGCUUAGUUUAGGAUUGCAGUCAGAGACCCCCCCUCCUAGGGCUCAAUAUGGGCUCAGCACAUCGUCAUACGUUUCAAAGGUGUGUGUAUGUGUAUAUGUGCAUAUGUGUGUGUGUGUGGGGGAGGGGUUGGAUGUGAAGUUUGAAUGUCCUUAUUAACUUUAGAAGUCCUUGGGUUUGUUUGUUUGUUUGUUUGUUUACAUUUCUGGGUGACUACAGAUGGGUUUAAGUUCACUGUCUGUGACACAGAUGGUCUCAUUUGACGGACAAGAAAAGAUCAAGAGUGGGAAAGACACCAGUGUAAGUUGUCAUGGUGCUCCUCCCACCUUGGCUUGAAACCUUGGCAUGAUCCUCUGGGGCUGGACCAUGGUAGGCUUCUCCACUGGCCUCCCCAUUACCUGAGGGUGCUUAGAAAGCCAGGCUGCCGAGACAGCCAGGUGAGUUCCUGCCGAGUACUGCAGAGGUGGCUGUCUCCAGCCAGGAGCUUCUCAGAAAACGACCGUGGAAUGCUGCAAAAGUCCUUUUGGGUUUUGGCUGAAUAAUAUUUAAGGGUUUUGAAAGAGUGACUUAAUUGUGUUUUUAUGUAAUUGAUGGCGUUCUAGUAAAAUGUAUCGAGACACGGUAUCAGCGUUUCUCUAACUGUUCCUUGGAGAAAAAUCUCUGCUCAUAUGAAAAUGGUUCCUUCACUUUCCACUCAUGGAAUUGUGAAAAAUGAAAAAAAAAUCACUGGCUUCCUCUGAAUCACUGUACCUAGAGGACUCUCUCAUUUUAAAAUGUACUCCCCCACUCCCGGACUUGGCCUGGAUACCACAGGGGUACCUCAUCAUUAUAAGAUUGCGGCUUGGGAACCCGGGGGCCUGCUAUGUUAGACUUGGGGCAGGAUGCUGUGUGGGCAGAUUUCGGGAAGCUUCCAUGUGCCCACAGGUCAGUUGGUACUAGGCUCCAGACUGAGGACCUCCUAACUGGGGACUCGUGAGUUCCUCAGAGUUCUUGCCCACCACAACCUGUUUUGGGUUUGGAAGACUGUGGCACAUAAAGCUACAUUGCAAUGAUGCACAGUCUCUUAAGCCUCGGAUCGAAUUUGAAGACCAUAUCACCUUGCUUGCUACCAUAGAAAUCGGGGAAUGUAAAUGUACAUUCUCAGCUUUCCUAACGUGACAUUUGUUUAUAUGGGGGGGGGGGGAGGUUUGCAUACAUUUCGAUUCCCCCCCUUCCUUCUUUCCUUCAUCUGCUCCCCCUUUCUUGUUUUUUCUAGAGGUUCACUAUCUAACACAGGCUGCCCUUGAACCGAGGCUAGCUUCUGCCUUGGUCGCCUCAGUGCUGGGGUGAUCUUACUGUGUCGGGACUGUUGGGCUUGGUGCUUUGAUUUUGUUUCAGACCUUACUACAUUGAUUCCAUUCUGGAAAAUCAAACCGUAAUCAUGAAAAAUGAAAAUAUAUUCGAACCCCAGAUGGAGCUGAGAGCUGAGUUCUUUAGUAGUGUGCACAUGGCCUUAGCUUCCAUUCCUAGCACCCCUCUCUCUUUUCUGUCUUAUUUUAAAAUAAAAAGUAUGUUAACCCUCUCUCAGUUUUCUCCAUCCCUCCCUUCAUCCUUCCUUCCCUCCCUCCCAUCCUUUCUCCUUUCGUUCCUUCCUCCCUUUCUGUGGUGCCUGGAAUGGAAUGAAAGGCCUUGCAUGCACAUGCUAGGCCAGCAACAUGUCUCCAGUCCCCCCAGUUAGUUUCUAAUUACAGAAAACUCGCAAGUCUGCUAAAUUACAUUGUAAUAGUAGUUACAAUAAUAAUAAUUGUAAUUAUAAUGCUUUGAAAGUACCAUGGGUCACCCUCCUGGUGGCCGCAAGCUGUGUGCUGCUUCCUGGAGGCCCUGUGCACUAGGACCUCCGAGGGUCUAACCACUACGAACACGCGCACUAGAAGAGAGCCGGUGUUCAACGGUGGGUGACACCCGAGUGUGGUGGUGAGGGUGACCCUCGUGGCCCGUGUCCCAUAGGCCUUUUUCGGGAGGGUUUUCUUACUGAGUCAGCCUGAGUGUCACCAGUGCGGUGCAGUGGGGCUGCCCCUGCUGGGCCCUGGGAGGAGAACCCCAGGUAGACAAGACUGGAGCAUCUGCAGCCUGCUGCGCUGCCGUGUGUGGGGGAACAGCAGGUCCAGAUGCACAGCCACAGCUGCAGCCUCCGCCACCGUGUGGGAGAACACACCUUCCCUAGGUGUGUAACGGGGCGGGAAGGUGACUGCAUAGAGUCUUCUGUCCUUGGGCUGGAGACUGCAGUAGCUCUGCCUUGGCAUGUCACUUAGCAGCUUCCUGUGAUCUGCAUGUGGCCCUUUCUCAGGGCAUAUCAAGGGGCCGGCCGGCAAGAAGCCACCUGGGUAUCAUAAACCAACUGCAUAGAGUUCUCUGACACUGAAUCCUCACAGGGUGAACAAGAAAAACCACAAUGAAAAUAAAGAAGAAAAAUAGUGUGUGUUGAUGCCUCCUGCUUGGUCCUAACUGGCAAACCUUGUGUGUCUUGACGUCUGAAAGACAUUUAAUGUUUAAUAAUUAGACCUCUUUACAGGAGCUCCCUGAAUAAUGACAUUUGUAGAGCCCUCCACAUCAAUGAAUAGAUCGCCAAGACACUGGAGCAGAGGCUCACAAACACACCCUUCCCAGGAGGGUCUAGGGGGCCCAGUAGCAGUGUAGCAGUGGGCACCUCUCAGCCAGAAUAGAAGAACUAGCUUUGGCUUCUGGUUUUGCGGAUAGGCAGUCACCCAAUGGUCUCGUUUCGGUGUUAAGGAGUAGGACGUGUGUUUGAAACAAUUUCCACAUGUUUUCAAUUCAGUAUUGCCUGAACAAAACUAAGGUUGUCAGUCUGAUGCACAGGUCUCACACACACAUGCAUGUGUUCCAGUAGGAGGAAAGGAGCAGGUCACAAUGUGAAAGUUUAUUUCCUCUCUAUGGCCACCUCUGCACCUGUAUUUUCCAAAGUUCUCACAGCAGACCUAUGCUGCCAGACACUGAGGCUUAGCGUUGAGGGUGCAGCAGCAGACACUUGGUGGCCUGGCAGAAGAGAAGCCGUUAGUCACUCAUUCAAAGAUAAAGCUCUCCCACUUUCACCACUGUGUGGAAAGAAAGCGACUCCAUUCACACAGGCCCGUGGUCACAGGGAGGUGAGGCGGACAUAGCUCCCGCUGGCUGGACUUAACCUUGUUGCCUGAGUUUCUGCCACCACGGGCUUCCCUGGGUAUAUGCUUUGGUAUCGGUGGGGUUUUGUGGGAUUCCAAGAUAAUCUAGAGGCUCCAAACUGGUCUUACUCAGAGGGACCAGAAAUACAUUCACUAGAUGGCUAAGGUUUUAAGCACUUUUAGUACCUGAGUAUGGUGGAUGGCACCUGGGACUUCGCCGUGAGGAGGUUGAGGGAGGAGGAGGUCCAAGUCAAAGCUGGCUUGGGCAGCAUAGGUAGACUAUUAGAGAAAAAACAAAGACAAAUAAAAAAUAACCACUACAACCACC